rnacentral:tRNA from 1 species
GGCUCGAUAGUGUAGCGGUUAGCACGUUUGCUUUACACGUAGAAGGUCCUGGGUUCAUUCCCCAGUGGAGCAA